rnacentral:rRNA from 1 species
AUUGAACGCUGGCGGCGUGCUUAACACAUGCAAGUCGUGCGGUAACAGGCGUAGCAAUACGUGCUGACGAGCGGCGAACGGGUGCGUAAUACAUGGGAAUCUGCCUUUUAGUGGGGAAUAACCCGGCGAAAGCCGGGCUAAUGCCGCAUAAGAUCUUCGGAUGAAAGCGGGGGAGUCGUAAGACCUCGCGCUGAUAGAUGAGCCCAUGCCGGAUUAGCAGUUGGUGAGGUAACGGCUCACCAAGGCGACGAUCCGUAGCUGGUCUGAGAGGACGGCCAGCCACACUGGGACUGAGACACGGCCCAGACUCCUACGGGAGGCAGCAGUGGGGAAUAUUGGACAAUGGGGAACCCUNAUCCAGCGACGCCGCGUGUGUGAAGAAGGCC